AUCUCCCUUUAAGUGUUUUUUGAUGCACUGUGGGUACAUUUUUUGAUAAUUCAAAAAUCUGUCUGGAUGGUUUGUAGACGACAGUCUGAAGAUGCAGCGGAGCAAUUUUGGUGUCAAUUGAGCAAAAAAUGUGGGAGGAGAUAGGUUUAAUAAGUUUU